rnacentral:rRNA from 1 species
AUUAUGGCUCAGGAUGAACGCUGGCGGCGUGCCUAACACAUGCAAGUCGAACGGUGACAUAUAGAUGAUUUCGGUCUGAAAUAUAUCAUAGUGGCGGACGGGUGAGUAACGCGUGGAUAACCUGCCCCGUACUGGGGGAUAGCAGCUGGAAACGGCUGGUAAUACCGCAUAAGCGCACGAGGGGGCCUCCCCCUGUGUGAAAAGAUUCAUCGGUACGGGAUGGGUCCGCGUCUGAUUAGCCAGUUGGCGGGUAACGGCCCACCAAAGCGACGAUCAGUAGCCGGCCUGAGAGGGUGAACGGCCACAUUGGGACUGAGACACGGCCCAGACUCCUACGGGAGGCAGCAGUGGGGAAUAUUGCACAAUGGGCGAAAGCCUGAUGCAGCGACGCCCGCGUGAGUGAAGAAGUAUUUCGGUAUGUAAAGCUCUAUCAGCAGGGAAGAAAGGCCCUUUAAGGGAGAUGACGGUACCUGACUAAGAAGCCCCGGCUAACUACGUGCCAGCCGCCGC